rnacentral:ncRNA from 13 species
AUUUUUUAUUUCAUAAUUACCUUCACUUGCCGAAAUGAACUGUAUGACUUCAUAUUCCCGCCAGGCUUAAUGCCUGGCGUUUUUUUA